rnacentral:rRNA from 1 species
UCGCCUACAGGAGGCAGCAGUGAGGAAUAUUGGUCAAUGGGCGCAAGCCUGAACCAGCCAAGUCGCGUGAGGGAAGACGGUCCUAUGGAUUGUAAACCUCUUUUGUCGGGGAGCAAGGCCCGCCACGUGUGGCGGGAAGGAGAGUACCCGAAGAAAAAGCAUCGGCUAACUCCGUGCCAGCAGCCGCGGUAAUACGGAGGAUGCGAGCGUUAUCCGGAUUUAUUGGGUUUAAAGGGUGCGUAGGCGGAAGGGUAAGGCAGCGGUCAAGUGUCGGUGGUCAACACCGGCCUGCCGUUG